AAAAGAAACUAACAAGGAUUCCCUUAGUAACGGCGAGCGAAAAGGGAUAAGCCCAGCGCUGAAUCUUGUGUCCCCCGGAUGCAAAGACAUGUGGCGUUUGGGACGAGACAUUGCCUGUGUAGAAUGGUUAACUAAGUCCCUCUUGAACGGGGCCAUAGCCCAUGGAGGGUGCUAGGCCCGUAUGUUAACAAUAUUAUGCAGUGCGUCUCGUCCGUAGAGUCGGGUUGCUUGGGAGUGCAGCCCAAAUACGGUGGUAAACUCCAUCUAAGGCUAAAUAUGACCACGAGACCGAUAGCGAACAAGUACCGUGAGGGAAAGUUGAAAAGAACUUUGAAGAGAGAGUUCAAUAGUACGUGAAACCUCUCGGGGGUAAGCGGGCAGAACUUGCAAGUAUUGACAGGAAUAUUCAGGCUUAAUGUUGGGUGACUGGAGGUACAUAUUAAGCUGCUCGUUCGCGGGUUGGCUGAUGUGUGCUUUUUGACUUACUAACGAUGCGCCGCAUUUAUUCUUGUCAUCGGGUUGCAUGUGACUGAGAUUUGGUAGUUUAGGUGCUGGGAAUCUGCGAAGCCUUGUUGUUUCGAGUCCUGGUUUCCAACUACUACUGCGGUCAUUUCACUUAUGAGCAGGCGUUUAGGCGCGGUCAAAAGUUUGUACGAGUUGUGUACGUACGAUAUGUGGACGGGUAACCGUAGCAUGUUGUACGAGGCUGAUUGUCGGUAUGAGCUAUUUGGCACUGUUCAGUGGAUUGCAAUCUAAUGCAUGCGUGGUCUGCCUGUCCCGUCUUGAAACACGGACCAAGGAGUCUAACAUGUAUGCAAGUCAUUGGGAAAGUAAACCCAAAGGCAUAAUGAAAGUAAAGAAUUCGAUUGCGGAUUUGAGGAGAGAUCAUGGCUCUAUUUGGUAUUCCGUAAGGUUUACUGGAUAGGGUAUGCGCAUCUCCUGGACGUCUAUACCUCUGAAGGUUGGGCGUACCAAGAGCAUACACGUUGGGACCCGAAAGAU
rnacentral:rRNA from 1 species